GCUAGCGGCAGGCCUAAUACAUGCAAGUCGAGGGGUAACAGGAAGUGCUUGCACUUCGCUGACGACCGGCGCACGGGUGAGUAACGCGUAUACAAUCUGCCUCAUACUAGAGGAUAGCCCGAAGAAAUUUGGAUUAAGACUCUAUAGUAUCAUUUAAAGACAUCUUUUUAUGAUUAAAGGUUACGGUAUGAGAUGAGUAUGCGUUCUAUUAGUUUGUAGGUGAGGUAACGGCUCACCUAGACUGCGAUAGAUAGGGGCCCUGAGAGGGGGACCCCCCACACUGGUACUGAGACACGGACCAGACUCCUACGGGAGGCAGCAGUAAGGAAUAUUGGUCAAUGGACGAAAGUCUGAACCAGCCAUGCCGCGUGCAGGAUGAAUGCCCUAUGGGUUGUAAACUGCUUUUAUAUAGGAAGAAAAACUUUCUCGUGAGAAAGCUUGACGGUACUAUAAGAAUAAGGAUCGGCUAACUCCGUGCCAGCAGCCGCGGUAAUACGGAGGAUCCAAGCGUUAUCCGGAAUUAUUGGGUUUAAAGGGUCCGUAGGUGGAUAAUUUAGUCAGAGGUGAAAUCCUGCAGCUUAACUGUAGAAUUGCCUUUGAUACUGGUUAUCUUGAGUUAUUAUGAAGUGAUUAGAAUGUGUAGUGUAGCGGUGAAAUGCAUAGAUAUUACACAGAAUACCGAUUGCGAAGGCAGAUCACUAAUAAUCAACUGACACUGAGGGACGAAAGCGUGGGUAGCGAACAGGAUUAGAUACCCUGGUAGUCCACGCCGUAAACGAUGGUCACUAGCUGUUUGGACUUCGGUCUGAGUGGCUAAGCGAAAGUGAUAAGUGACCCACCUGGGGAGUACGUCGC
rnacentral:rRNA from 1 species